GACGAACGCUGGCGGCGUGCUUAACACAUGCAAGUCGAACGGAAAGGCCCUGCUUUUGUGGGGUGCUCGAGUGGCGAACGGGUGAGUAACACGUGAGUAACCUGCCCUUGACUUUGGGAUAACUUCGGGAAACUGGGGCUAAUACCGGAUAGGAGCUCCUGCUGCAUGGUGGGGGUUGGAAAGUUACGGCGGUUGGGGAU
rnacentral:rRNA from 1 species